UGGGGAAUAUUGGACAAUGGGCGCAAGCCUGAUCCAGCCAUGCCGCGUGAGUGAUGAAGGCCCUAGGGUUGUAAAGCUCUUUUACCGUUGAAGAUAAUGACGGUAACCGGAGAAGAUGCCCCGGCUCACUUCGUGCCAGCAGCCGCGGUAAUACGAAGGGGGCUAGCGUUGUUCGGAUUUACUGGGCGUAAAGCGCACGUAGGCGGACUUUUAAGUCAGUGGUGAAAUCCCAGGGCUCAACCCCGGAACUGCCUUUGAUACUGGAAGUCUUGAGUAUGGUAGAGGGGGGUGGAAUUCCGAAGGUAGAGGUGAAAUUCAUAGAUAUGCGGAGGAACACCAGUGGCGAAGGCGGCUCACUGGACCAUUACUGACGCUGAGGUGCGAAAGCGUGGGGAGCAAACAGG
rnacentral:rRNA from 1 species